rnacentral:rRNA from 1 species
GGAGUUAGCCGGUGCUUCUUCUGCGAGUAACGUCACAGAUGUAAGGUAUUAACUUACACCCUUUCCUCCUCGCUGAAAGUGCUUUACAACCCGAAGGCCUUCUUCACACACGCGGCAUGGCUGCAUCAGGGUUUCCCCCAUUGUGCAAUAUUCCCCACUGCUGCCUCCCGUAGGAGUCUGGGCCGUGUCUCAGUCCCAGUGUGGCUGAUCAUCCUCUCAGACCAGCUAGGGAUCGUCGCCUAGGUGAGCCUUUACCUCACCUACUAGCUAAUCCCACCUGGGCUUAUCCAUCAGCGCAAGGCCCGAAGGUCCCCUGCUUUCCCCCGGUAGGGCGUAUGCGGUAUUAGCAGUCGUUUCCAACUGUUACUCCCCACAAAUGGGACAAAUUCCCAGGCAUUACUCACCCGUCCGCCGCUCGUCAUCUUCAAAGCAAGCUUUUAGAAAUGUUACCGCUCGACUUGCAUGUGUUAGGCCUGCCGCCAGCGUUCAAUCUGAGCCAGAUCAAACUCUGA